rnacentral:rRNA from 1 species
GGGCAGGGCGCAUGCUAUACAUGCAAGUCGAGCGGACAGAAGGGAGCUUGCUCCCGGAUGUUAGCGGCGGACGGGUGAGUAACACGUGGGUAACCUGCCUGUAAGACUGGGAUAACUCCGGGAAACCGGAGCUAAUACCGGAUAGUUCCUUGAACCGCAUGGUUCAAGGAUGAAAGACGGUUUCGGCUGUCACUUACAGAUGGACCCGCGGCGCAUUAGCUAGUUGGUGAGGUAACGGCUCACCAAGGCGACGAUGCGUAGCCGACCUGAGAGGGUGAUCGGCCACACUGGGACUGAGACACGGCCCAGACUCCUACGGGAGGCAGCAGUAGGGAAUCUUCCGCAAUGGACGAAAGUCUGACGGAGCAACGCCGCGUGAGUGAUGAAGGUUUUCGGAUCGUAAAGCUCUGUUGUUAGGGAAGAACAAGUGCAAGAGUAACUGCUUGCACCUUGACGGUACCUAACCAGAAAGCCACGGCUAACUACGUGCCAGCAGCCGCGGUAAUACGUAGGUGGCAAGCGUUGUCCGGAAUUAUUGGGCGUAAAGGGCUCGCAGGCGGUUUCUUAAGUCUGAUGUGAAAGCCCCCGGCUCAACCGGGGAGGGUCAUUGGAAACUGGGAAACUUGAGUGCAGAAGAGGAGAGUGGAAUUCCACGUGUAGCGGUGAAAUGCGUAGAGAUGUGGAGGAACACCAGUGGCGAAGGCGACUCUCUGGUCUGUAACUGACGCUGAGGAGCGAAAGCGUGGGGAG